GUUGAAUGCAAGACAAAAAUGGUUCCCAAAAGACAAGAAAUCUGGUGACUUAGGGCUUCAAUUCCAUGGCAUAGACUUAGUUGUGCAUUACUGAUCUGAAUUGUGGUGCCCGAGGCCUGUGUUCGGCUCUGUGCUUUCUCCUGGCACUUGUGUUAAAGUAAUGGGUCUGAAGAAUAUCAUGAGGAGCCUUGCAACAGAGCACAGGGUGACCAGGAGGUCCCAUCCCUUUUCUUAGGGAUGUUGAGGACUUCACCAAACUUUAUAGUCUCCAGACCACCUCUUCUCUCCCACCAAUUUUUUUGGAAAAUAAUUCUUGGCUAAUUCCCUGCCCAUCUUCCCUUAUAUUAUUAAAAAUCUAAGUAUAUAUUUCCAUUUUUGGUGAUUGUCACACUUUAAUGAGGCUGUUGGUUAGUUUCUCGGAUAUGUUGCUGCUACUUCUUUAGAAUGCAGCAAGGCAGAUAUUAUUUUAAAAUUGGCUACAGAUAACCCAUUCACUAAGUGGAUGAGUCAACAGAUGUUUUUUCUUGAAGCAUGAGUUGUGUGAAAAAGGGUGAUUACUCCAUUCCUCUGCCUCUCACGCCCAGCACACACAACACACAGAAGGAAAAACAGUUCCCAAGGCUGCAAGAAGGAAAUGGGCUCAAGUGACUGAGACAGAGCUUUAAAUCAGAGCAGAAACAAUGGUGCAAAGACAUCUGUAUCAGGACUCCUAAAACUUUAAAAUACAAGGGACUGCUGCAUAGUUCCUUGCAUGUCUGCCCUCGCGUACCAGAGGCUGAGGAGGACAUAACAAAGAUUCCCUGGGAUAGGAGCUGGCAGACAAGGAAUCGCCACUUGUUUUUUAAUGUCUUCCAGAAUCCUUACCAACGCUGGGACAUCAGGAAAUAUCGCUCGUGUGCUAAAUGCUGCUCCCUCUGCUGGUUGUCUCUGAGGAAAUGGAUGUUGAAGAUGAGAGGAAGGUGA
ensembl:lncRNA